AGGAAAACUAUAAGAAACAUCUCUUCUACUUUUGUUAAGUUUCAAUCUAAAAGAUUCUUGAUUUUUCUAUGGAAAGUAAAUUAAUAGUAUAUUAGAUAUACUUCAAUGACUAUAAGCUUAAAAACUAAGUAGAAACUCAUAGUUUCAAAUUUUGGUUUUUAGGAUAUUUCGAGGACGCGGAAUUCGAUUCCCAACUUGAUAUCUGAACUCCACUCUUGGAUGGGAAGUUUGAAAGCAUUUGAGCAGCUUAUAUUUCCUAUGAAUGUACUUGAACAACUUGAAUUUAAAUUUCGGUUUGUAAUGAAUUCUACGUUAAGCACUGUA